rnacentral:rRNA from 1 species
UACAGAGGUCCCAAGCGUUGUUCGGAUUCACUGGGCGUAAAGGGUGCGUAGGUGGCGGGGUAAGUCAGGUGUGAAAUUUCGGAGCUCAACUCCGAAACUGCAUUUGAUACUGCCUUGCUUGAGGACUGGAGAGGAGACUGGAAUUCACGGUGUAGCAGUGAAAUGCGUAGAUAUCGUGAGGAAGACCAGUGGCGAAGGCGGGUCUCUGGACAGUUCCUGACACUGAGGCACGAAGGCCAGGGGAGCAAACGGG